CUAAAAAUCUAGCCAACCAAUUCACUGACACCUAAAUUCGAAAACUAAAAUAUUCUUACAAUAAAGUAAAGACGAUAGAAAAAUUAACAAGAGCAAUAAAAAUGUACCGCAAGGGAUAGUUGAAAUAGAAAUGAAAUAAACUUUAAGCCCUAAAAAGUAGAGCUCACCUCUCGUACCUUUUGCAUCAUGGUUUAACUAGUUUAAUUAAGCAAGACGACUUAAAGUUUAACUCCCCGAAACUAAGUGAGCUACUCUAGGACAGCUCUAGAGCCAACCCCCCGACGUUGUAAAGUCGCGGGAAGAUCCUAAAGUAGUGGUGAUAUACCUAACGAACAUAGUGAUAGCUGGUUACUCAGGAAAAGAAUUUUAGUUCCACCUAAAGAGCCCAAAGUACUAAAAACAUAAAUUUGUCUUUAGAGCAAUUCAAUCAAGGAACAGCUUGCUUGAACCAGGACACAACCUUGACCAUAGGAUAAUGAUUUCCCCCCAAACAACUAAGUGGGCCUAAAAGCAGCCAUCUAACAAAAGCGUUAAAGCUUCACUGUUUUUCAAAGAAUACCUUAUAUUUCACAGACUCCUUCAACAGUACUGAGUACAUCUAUAUUGAUAGAAAAUUUUAUGUUAAAACUAGUAGCAAGAAGUCAACCUUCUCCUCAAUGCAAGUAUAUUCCAGUAAGGACCCCCCACUGGAAAUUAACACCCCCCCCCCCAAGUAGUAACUUACAAGAAAAAUCUCCUUAAUAACCUGUUAACCUAACACAAGAGCAUCCAAGGAAAGAUUAAAAGAAAAAGAAGGAACUCAAACUUAUGCCCCGCCUGUUUACCAAAAACAUCGCCUCUUGAAUCACAUGAGAGGUCNNNNNNNNNNNNNNNNNNNNNNNNNNNNNNNNNNNNNNNNNNNNNUGCGAAGGUAGCGUAAUCACUUGUUCUUUAAAUAAGGACUAGUAUGAAAGGCAUCACGAGGGUCAAACUGUCUCCUUUUUCUAAUCCGCGAAACUAAUCUUCCCGUGAAGAAGCGGGAAUAUUUUUAUAAGACGAGAAGACCCUAUGGAGCUUUAAAUUGAACGCCACCUUCAUUCUUCUCUUAAAUUCCGAAACCCCCUAUAACUAUAAUGAACCCUGGCUAUAAAUUUUAGGUUGGGGCGACCGCGGAGAAAAACCAAUCCUCCACAUUGUUAAAGAACCAUCUUAAACAAAGAGCAACAACUUUAUGUAUCAAUAAAAUUGACAUCUAUUGACCCAUUAUUUGAUCAACGAACCAAGUUACCCUAGGGAUAACAGCGCCAUCCACUUUAAGAGCUCCUAUCGACAAGUGGGCUUACGACCUCGAUGUUGGAUCAGGGUGUCCAAGUGGUGCAGCCGCUACUUAAGGUUCGUUGUCAACGAUAA
rnacentral:rRNA from 1 species